AUGCAGAACAAGGAAAAACAUUUUAAAGGGCCAUGUUUGAGUUUGAAAUUUGAAUCUUUGAUUCAAAUUGGUUCAAACCCUUCUGGUCUUAGUUGCAUUAGCCCAACACACUCAUAUUGUCAUGUUUCAUGCAUGCAUCAUAUUGUUGCACAUUGUUUGGUGAUAGUUGUGUAUCGGUAUUCUUUGCGGCAGGUUCUGCCUCCGAGGAGUAUCGUGAUUACCCUAACGAAGAACCGUAUCAGUGCAUCGAACCAUCAGGCAAGCAACCAACCAUUUGAUCAUAUCGAUACAAUCUCAUGUUCUCGCUCCUGCUCUCUUUUACUGCAUUAA
rnacentral:rRNA from 1 species